rnacentral:lncRNA from 1 species
CCUAGCCUGGGAACCUCCACAUGCCGAGGGAGCAGCCCAAGAAAUGGCAAAAAAGAGAAAAAAAUAAAAUAAAAUAAAAUGUAAGCUCCAUGAGAACAAGACUUCAGCAAAUUUCUUUACCGCUGUAUCCUUAGGGGCUAAAGACAGUGCUUGAAGCUCCAUCGUUAUUCAAAAAAUAGCCACUGGGUGCAUAAUUGAUCUGGUCAACUACUGAUCAACCAUUGGGUUGACUGUGCUAGAACAUCUUUGUACACUUGUCUGGUUAUCUCCUUGAGACAGAUUCCUCAAGAUGAAAUGACUAGGUCAAAGGAAUAGCUUAAAUAUUGAAACAUGUUGCCCAAUUUCCCUGCCUUUAGCCUUUACUGUAUUACCUUCCUUCUCAUCAGUAUAUGCAAAUGCCUACGGCCCCAAUGCCCUCGCCAGGAUGGGAUAUAAUUCAUAAAGUUGUGAUGGAUUUUUCCACUGUGAAUAUUGUGUUUGGGGAGUCAGAGAGCAGAUCCUUUUUGAGACCAGGCAGAAUGUAAGGAGCCAACCAUGCUUGGGAAAUUAAUUGAAAUGAGGAGUGCACCAGUCUGGGUCCCAGCAUAAAAGGGUAAGCACACUCAAAUUAGGUCAUUUCGGGGGCAUUGAAGAAAUGACUCUUUCUUUUUCUCCUUCUUUUUCUUUCUUUCAGAACAGUUCUUUAAUGCAGAUGCUUUCCUUCUUUCUUUCUUUCUUUCUUUCUUUCUUUCUUUCUUUCUUUCUUUCUUUCACAAUUCUUUAAUGCAAAUGCUUGCUUGCUUGCUUUCUCUCUUUCUUUCUUUGUUUCAUUCGCUGGUGGCUACAGCUCCGAUUAGACCCCUAGCCUGGGAAUCUCCAUAUGCCGCGGGAGCGGCCCAAGAAAUAGCAAAAAGACCAAAAAAAAAUUAUAACAACAGCAAAAUACAAAGCAAAAUGAAAAACAAAAACAAAAAACAACGGAAAGCCAGAGGGCAAGGGAGCCCUUUGAAGAGUCAGUAUUUUAGGCCUCCCAGAGGCAUGGAGCACACAGCAUACAAUAGGUGCUCAAUAAGUGUGUCACUGGGAGUUGCCGGGGUGCCUCAGCAGAAACAAAUCCCACUGGUAUCCAUGAGGAUUCCGGUUUGAUCCCUGGCCUCGCUCAGUGGGUUAAGGAUCCCGAGUUGCCGUGAGCUGUGGUGUAGGUCACAGACACGGCUCAGAUCUGUGUUGCUAUGUUGCGAUGUCUAUGGUGUAGGCCAGCAGCUGUAGCUCUGAUUCGACCCCUAACCUGGGAACCUCCAUAUACCACAGCUGUGGCCCUAAAACAAACAAACAAAAACUCUGUUAUUGAAUCUAACCCUCCAGCAGUCCUUCGAGGUAGCCAUUUAUAUUCCAAUGGGGAAACUGAGGCUCAGAGAGAUUCAUUCACCUGCCCAAGGUUACACAGCCAGUUUGGGGGGCCUCCCAAGCCCUGUGCUCUGAAGUGCUGAGGAACCUGGAUCUGAGGGCAGAUAGCAGGUAGCCCCCACAAACACUUGGUCAAAAAAUGACAGUUCCCCAACGCAGGGCAGGAUCGAAGGCGCUGUGGUGGGUGAAGAAGACUCUCCUGCAGUUUCUGUGACAGGUGAACUGAUAGCUCAGGUGAGGGGACAGUGAAGAGUCAUGGCUCUCCCUGGAACACCUGCCUUAUCACUCAAGCGCACCCCUGGGAGAGAUGGCAGGGUGCACACUGCCCGCAUUCAAGUCCUAGCCCUGUCGCCUACCAGCUAAGUAACCUUGGGCAGGUCCCAGGGAUCUCUGUCCCUUGUCUCCGUGUGUGAAGUAAGGAUCACCCUUGUCCCUAAGUGGUGAGGACGUCAGCAGUGAACCCACGUGAUCCCAGCAUCUUGUCAGCCGCAGUCAGGGAACAGCUGCAUCCUGGCCUCACUGUCCUUCCAAGGUCCUGAUGCAUGAUCUCUCCUUAAUGCCACUCUGUGCCCCGAAGCCAGAGGCAUCUUGUCCCGGGUUUAGCAACUUCCUUCUAUCAGGGUCAAACUUUCAGCUCCCGGGAGCGCUAUACCUCUGUUGCAAUUACUGAAGCCUCUUGAGCAGUGCCAAAGCAGCCAGAACUGGGAAUUCCCAUUGUAUCUCAGUGGUAAUGAACCCAACUAAGAUCCAUGAGGAUGCAGGAUCGAUCCCUGGCCUUACUCAAUGGGGGAAGGAUCUGUCGUCGCCGUGAGCUGUGGUGUAGGUCACAGACGCAGCUCCGAUCUUGCAUUGUUUUGGCUGUGAUGCAGGCCAGCAGUUGCAGCUCUGAUUCGACCCUUAGCCUGGGAACCUCCGUAUGCCCCGGUUGCAGCCCUAAAAAACAAACCAACGGGAGUUCCCAUUGUGGCCCAGUGGUUAACGAAUCUGACUAGCAUUCAUGAAGAUGCAGGUCCGAUCCCUGACCUCGCUCAGUGGGUCAAGGAUCCCGCGUUGCCGUGAGCUGUGGUGUUGAUCACAGAAGCAGCUCAGGUCUGGUGUUGCUGAGGCUCUGGCGUAGGCUGGUGGCUGUAGUUCCAAUUAGACCCCUAGCCUGGGACCCUCCAUAUGCCGAGGGUGUGGCCCUAAAAAGACCAAAAAAAAACAAAACUUUAUUUCUGGACACUGAAAUUUGAAUUUCACAUACCUUUCACAUGUCACAAAAUAAUAUUUUUUCAAAUUCCUUUUCAAUGACUUAAACAUGUAAAAGCCAUUUUUAGUUGGCAGGCCCGUACAAAAAACAAGCAUCUGGCCAGACUUGGCCCUCAGUCUGGAACUGGCUAGCGAACCACUCGCCUAGGCCCCUUGAGGGAGGAUGGACCCUGCCAGUGCCCUUGAAACCUGACCUUCUUCUGUCAUCUCACAGAACGAGCUAGAAACAAACCCCACCUCUUCCAAUUAGAGAGAAACCUACCGUGGGUAUUUCCAGCUUCUGGCACUUGGAACGGCAGCCCCUCUGGCUUUCUUCCAGCCCUUCCAAGAGGCCACCUCCUUCCUGUCGCGGGGCACUUCCCUCUGCCCCGUGCAUGCCUGUCCAUCUACAAGCUGCUCCAUCAGGGACCCUGUUCAUCUUCCAUCCCCCUGAACUUCCAAGACCCACCAUAGUGCCUGACAUACAGUAAGUGCUCAGUAGAGGUGCACUGAAUUUAACCCCAUGAUAAUCCUUUAAUGCAGAUGCUUCUAUACCACUGGAGAAACUGAGGCUCAGAGACACACAGUAACUUGCUCAAGGUCACACAGCUCGUUUGAGAGGCUCCAAAGUCCUGUGUUCCUUUCUUUCUUUCUUUCUUUCUUUUUUGGCACCUGUGGCAUACACAAGUUCCCAAGCCAGGGAUCGAACCUGGGCCAUAGCCGUGACCUGAGCCACUGCAGUAACAACCCUGGAUCAUUAACCUGCAGAGCCACGAGAGAAUUCCCAAAGUCCUAUGUUCUUAAGAGCUAUACUCUGUGGCGCAAGAACUUUCCAAGCACCUCAAAUUCUGGUGCCACCAUCCACUCACUGGUGACCUUGGGUGAGUCUUCCCGUUGUGGCACAGUGGUUAACGAAUCCGACUAGGAACCAUGAGGUUGCCGGUUCGAUUCCUGCCCUUGCUCAGUGGGUUAAGGAUCCGGCGUUGCUGUGAGCUGUGGUGUGGGUUGCAGACGCAGCUCAGAUCCAGCGUUGCUGUGGCUCUGGUGUAGGCCGGUGGCUACAGCUCCGAUUCAACCCCUAGCCUGGGAACCUCCAUAUGCUGCGGGAGCAGCCCAAGAAAUAGCAAAAAGACAAAAAAAAAAAAAAAAAAAAA